rnacentral:lncRNA from 1 species
GACCAAAUAUCAAUUUAUCUUUACCCUCACGAAGAUAAAUGAUCUUUCUUAGUGUCUACAUCAUUUGAGUAUUCAACUCAUAAUCUUCAAUCCAUAUGGUUUUUUAAUAUCAUAAACAUCAUGGAUAAUAUUCGUGUUGGCGUAUUGUCCGAUAGUUCGAGACAAUAUUUCUCUCAACACUUUAUAAUCUUUCUCGACUCUUCAGGAGUCCCAAUUUAACAUCAUCAACUCUUUAGGAGUUCUAAUUUAAUGUCAUCGAUUCUUGCAAGAGAUUUUAGUGUGUUGCAACAAUAUCAUAAUGAUAGUACUUACUGAGGCAAUUAUACCAUCCAUUGGUAUUGAGUACAUAAUUUAUGCUUUACCCUUCGGGGGCUUACUUCAAGCAAUUUGAAUCCUUCAGGGAUUUUCUGCACUUCAUGACACAUUUUCCUUUGGAAUUUAGACAGAGCAAUUUGCUCCCAUGUAUAAUUGAGGGAUUUACUUAUGGAGAUACGAUGUGGGAGACUCACAACCCUUCGUAUAUAAUUCUCCAUUCAUAUGAACUCAUUUACAAGAGUAUAAUUUCAUGUUUCAAUUAGUAACCUUAUGUCAUAUCAUGUGAGUGUAAUUCAUUGUAUUACAAAUGCCCAAUGUAACCUCCUUGGUUCAACAUCUUUUGGCUAUUUGUAUUACAUUCAAAUAUAUAGGUCCAUUUUCCCACGUUCUUACAAAAUUGUAAUGGAAUUGCCUUUCUGCAUCUUUGUUUUUCGUUGAAAAGAACGAGACUCAAUAUCAACACAGCUCAUUGAUGAUUUUAGUAGCUACUUGUAAGAACCAAAAUUACCAUUGGUUAUCAUCAAUCCGUGAUCCCAUAUUCUUAUGUGCAUGCGCAUGCAUAAAAGCUUUUUAUUUUUUUGGAUAUCCAUUGCCUUUUCAAGGGCAUUACACUAUCUCUUCCAGGAUAGUCGUAAUUUUGAGAAUGCGGAUCAUAACCUCUUCUUGAGCGUCAUAAAGCUUGGAUCUUAAUCUCCACUUCCGGGAGUUGAGUCGUUGGAACCUAUACGUCUAUCAUGCUUCAUGCAUGAGACAUCAACAUUCCCAUGUCCGCAGAUUGUCCUUUCUGGGAUGUGUAUCCAUGCGGCAACUGUCAUGCUUUUGGCAUGCAACAGUUAUGCUUCGGAAAUGCAAUAGUUCAAUAAUGUAAUAUUCUUCUUUCGAAGGACUGAACCUUUUUGAGUCUGAGGGUUUGUCACGCUUCAAGCGUGCAACAGAUAACUCAUUUACUGCCUCAUUAUUUUGUCCAAACAGGGAUAUCAAUUCUUGUAGGCACAUUUGCAACAAGUAUAUGUGAUUUCAUCACUUUCGUUGCAUCAUUAAAUGCAUCUGGCAUUUGAUUGACACAUCAUUGCAUCAUUCAAUUAUUCUUACUUCAUUUUCUCAUUGAUUGCUUCGUGAAUCAAAAUAAGACAAAUUCUCUUCGUUCUUCUGGAACGAUCAUUUCUCGCCAUUCUUCUGGAAUGAUAUUUUCUCAUCGUUCUUUUGGAACGAUAUUUUCUCCCCCUAACGGCGGGAAAAUUGUCUUAUCAAAAUGACAGUCCGCAAACCAUGCAGUAAAUAUAUCCCCAAUCAAGGGUUCUAAAUAUUGAAUG